GGUACUUGCUGUACAGACUGCUGCCACACUGGCUGGCUAGGUCGCUCUAGCACGCAAGUCUUGAAAUUGUUCAUUGUUCCUCUCACUGCCAGAAGCAGGAGGGUUGUUCUCUUGUCUUCACUGUGAGGGACCUACUAGAGGUCAGGAAGCAAAUGCACAGAAACUCCUUGGUUCUCCUUAGAAUUAGGUCUCCGGGAGCACUCUCAAGCUGGUGCAGGGCAGUGCAGCAUCGCCUGCUGUGACACUGGCUUUCAGGAAGAUGUCCACACUGGAAGAGUGAGAUGGAGAUGGAGAGCUAUGCAGGAGAUUGCCAACACAAGGACUUCUCUGUGUAAAACAUUCAGGAACCAUGAUGAAGCAACUGGGCUAGGAUGGUGUGGUGCAUGGUGGUUUUGAAAAAACUGGUUCCCAAAGAGAGGAAUGGCCUAGUUGGAGUAGGUGUG
rnacentral:lncRNA from 1 species